rnacentral:rRNA from 1 species
GAUGAACGCUAGCGGCAGGCCUCAUACAUGCAAGUCGAGGGGCAGCAGGACACUUCGGUGUUGCUGGCGACCGGCGCACGGGUGAGUAACACGUAUAUAAUCUGCCUUGUACUGGGGAAUAGCCCCUGGAAACGGGGAUUAAUAUCCCAUAUUGUCUUAUCAGCGCAUGCUGGCAAGAUGAAAGCUCCGGCGGUACAAGAUGAGUAUGCGUCCCAUUGGCUUGUUGGUGAGGUAAUAGCUCACCAAGGCUGCGAUGGGUAGGGGUUCUAAGAGGAAGGUCCCCCACACUGGCACUGAGAUACGGGCCAG